GUCUGGCCUGCUAUGAUAAAAAUUAAUGGCCGCGGUAUAUUGACCGUGCAAAGGUAGCAUAAUCAUUAGUUUUUUAAUUGGAAGCUUGUUGAAGGUUUGAUGAAAAGUUUCUGUUUCUUGGGAAAUUUAUUAAUUUUAUUUUUAGGUUAAAAGCUUAAAUUUGUAUGGAAGACGAAAGACCCUAUAGAGUUUUACAUUUUGAGUUUAUAAAAGUUUUAAAGAAGUAAGAAUAAAUUAUAUUUAAGGUGUUUUGUUGGGGUGAUGGAAAAAUUAGAUGAACUUUUUUUGCUAUGAGACAUUUAUUUAUGGGUUUUUGAUCCUAAGAUUUAAUUAUAAAUUAAAUUACCUUAGGGAUAACAGCGUAUUUUUUUUAGAGUUCUUAUCGAAAAAAAAGAUUGCGACCUCGAUGUUGGAUUAAAAUUAAUCAUUGGGUAAAGCUUAUUUGAUUAGGUCUGUUCACCUUUAAAAUUUUACAUGAUCUGAUUUAAACCGGUGUAAG
rnacentral:rRNA from 1 species